AUUCGAGAUGGUUGAAUAUGCUAAUGAGUAAGUCAAUCUAGAAUUUUUCAACAGAGCAUACAAAUAAUAUUCUUAAAAGAAAAGUCAAUAUCAAAUUGUAGAAUGGAAUUUUCAAGGGAAUCUAGAGUUGGCUUAGCUCGAAUUGGAUUUAGAAUGUGAUUACCUGAUCAUAAAAUGGUACAAAUAUGGCAAUUAUCUCGAGGGUUAAUCAUGAUCUAGUGUACUUGGAAAGUAAGGAUAAAAAUUCUGAUUGAAUAUUAUAUAUAUAUAUAUAUAUAAAGAAUGAUGAUGAUCUAGGAUUCUUAAGAAAUUUUGGAGAAUAUUGAUCAGAGUUGCGCAGUGAAAGUGUGGUGGACUGAGUCAUUUUAAACUGAUAAAAAAAAAAGAAGAAGAAAUAUUGACUGUAUUUGGUAACAUGUUAUGAUAAAGAUUAGAUUUUUUUUAAUAAAGAAAACUUUUGUUAAUAAGAGAAGGCGAAUACUGUUGAUUCUCAGGAUAAUCAUGAUAUGGCUACGUUAUCACUUUGAUAGAUUUUCCAAUGUUGGUAUGCUAAGGAAAAUCUUGAACAUUUCAUGACUAGGGUGAGUUAAUCAUUGAUUGCAUAUGAUCUAAAUUUCAAGUAUCCAAAUAAACCAUGUGUUAUUUGUUCCAUCGUUAUGAGUUAUAAAUUAAGCUUCGUGACAUAUUAAAUUAUGGUAUCAAUAUCUUGUCUUCUUGGACUUGCUCUUAAGAUUUGAUGCCAAUCAAUUUCGAGAUAGACCGUUGCUAUCUAAUGACCAUCAUUACCUGUUCAAUUGGUGAAUCACAUACCUAGCCAUAUAAAGACUUGAUUCUAAGGUUGGUCAUUAUCUUUUGAGGGAACAUCACCCUACCAUAAUAAGUGUAUCGAAUCCAUUUUAUUUCAGGUUCUACCUGAAAUACAAUUAAUCGAUCUUGUUGUGAAUCGAUCCCAAUCCGAUCGGGAGUGAACCUACAUCAAACAUAGAUUUUAAGUUAGUCACUUAUCUAGUGCUAAUCUUGCUAGUUUUUGACAGUUGAUCCAAAAUUAUCUACCACACUGAUUUUGAUCGAGAAGAACGAGAUCUUAAAUUAUGUUACAUAAUGAGCCGAGCACCCCUCAAUUUGGAAGAUAAAGAUUUCUUAAAUUUCGAGGACGAAAUUUUUAUUAAGGAGGGGAGAAUGUAAUAUCCAGUCCAAAAUUGGAUUUUGGGCCGAUUGGGCCAAAGCCGGCGGGUCAAACCGGCUUCAGCCCAUGAAGAAAAGACUGAGACAGAGGAUCGUAAUAGUCUUCUUCCUCAGAGUAACGGAGGCGAGAUAGGAGCGGGGACAUCGUGGCCUCUUGAAUGGCCUCUGAUUCUGCCCGACCACCGCGAGCAUCACGGAGGUGAACGAGCCACAACCAUUUUCUUUCUUCCCCGGAGAGGGCUAUAAAAGCCCCCGAUAGCUCACCCGAUCCGAGACCCCCCUCCUCCCUAUUUUCUCCUUGCUCUCGGACCAGGAUGUUGCCAGAUCUGGGCACUCCGGUGGCCUGAAGUUCGCCACCGUCCUCGCUCAUGUUGGGUUCCACCUCCGGUAUCCUCCACCGGCGCCUCUCCUCGUCGGACUUCACCACCCGCGCCCCUGCUCUCAUUAGUGAGGUACAGAGAAUUUGACGGACGAGAUUAGGAUUGUGUGGGCGAAUUGAGAUAAUUAAGGCGAUUAAGAGCGGGAAAGAGUAAAUGAAAAUUGGAGUUGAAGCAUAGUUACAGGGAUUCUUAAAAGUAUCUAUGUUAAUAAGUUUGGGUUGUAAUAUUGCAAACUCAAGUAUUUGAUUUAGAUGCUCUGUACUUGCUUCUUUAUGAUUAGUAAAUAAAUUUGAUCAGAUUUGGUCUUA